AUACCUAAUAAUAAUAUAAUAACAGGUAAAUCCACUCUAAUAUUACUUGUAAGACGAAGAAAACACAUACAGAUACUGAGAUAGGUGCAUAAUUAUACCUACUUAUUACUUUUCAAUUUACAUCCUAUCAAACUUCCAACUUUUGUUUUGAUAACAGUUAACGUGUCAACCUUAAAUUAUGUACUAUGGAAUGUAUGGAUGGACAUAGGACCCAUGUUCCGAUAACUUGAAGCACAUAUUAGCGACAAGUCUAUGACUUAAAUACUAGGUGACCUACAGAUCAACGACCAACAGCUAAAUAUGCGACGUUUCGCCUCACACUUGUACACAUCACAGUCACAGACUCGUCGCUUAUAUUGCUUGCACAGGCGAGAUGCCGAAAUGAACAUGGUUCCAUCCAAACUAGAUGAAGCCCUAAGUUGUCAACAAUUAACAGUUUAACUCACGAAUUAAGAUAUAUCUUAAUUCGUGGUUUUUUUUUAUUGAUCUUGAGCCCGGAAAUUAUGUCAUAAUAGAAGAUCAUGUACCAGACUCGCCUAGAUGGAACACAUCAAAGUACAGAAGUAUAUCAAUCACAAGUUGUACUAAUGACGGAUAGUGGUCUGGUUGCAGAAUAACAAACAAUUUACAAGAUUUGAUAAUAACGGAGGAUGGAGAGAUGAAGGAAGUAUAAGCAAGCAGCACCAAACAAAAAGAAAAUUAAAUGUAAAUAAAUAAAUAUAAAUAUAAAUAAAAUAUUGGUAUAAGUUCAUGUAGCACAAUUAAUAUUGAUUAUAAGCACAGGAAACUUAUGUCCCAAUUUUUAAUAAUGCUUUUCUGUUAUGUUAACAAAUUGUUGUUCUUUUAAAAAUGCAUAUAUUAUUCCAGAGCAAAAAAAUAUAUAAUAACUUAUAAAUAAGACUUAUAACAAGAAACAAAUAAUACAUAAUUUAAAGAAACUAGUAAGUUACAAACAUAAUAUAAUAAUUAGUUAUAUUUGUCUAUACACGUAAUUACAUAAGAUUUGGAAAUUUUACCAUUGGAUUUACUGGUAUAACAUUCAUAACGGUAAUAUUAAAAAUUAAUUUAUAUAUAUUUAAAUGAUAAAUAUAUACUUUCAAUUGUGCGAUUUUUUUUUGUAAUGGAACGUUGCAAAUAUUAUAUAGUUAAAAAAAGUUAUAUUAAUGCAUACAAUUAUUUACAUCAUUGAAUUUGGACAUUCAACUGUAGUAAACAGGCUUGAACUAGGUAUCCAUUAUUAAUACAAAUAAUAUAAUUAUUAGGUUAGGACAUUAUUGUACCUGGUAAAUAAUAGUUAACAAUAAUAUAACCAUUGACAAUGUAAUUUUACAUACUAUAAUAUUACUAUAUGUUAGAAAACUGUAUCACCAAUUUUAAAAGCAAAAAAAAAAAAAACAAAUGUAUUUAUUGGUGAAUAUAUCCAUUGUACUA